rnacentral:lncRNA from 1 species
CAGAUGUUAAAUUUUGUUUGUUUCUUCUCUAGAAAUUAGAGAAGUAUUGACAUGAAGUAGCUCGUCUACACUAUACGAAAAGAUGCACAGAUUAUGAAAACAAUUGAUCCCCUCCUAUGAUGAAAAAAGGAUGCGGAAGGUAUUACAGAAGUUUUUCUUCUUUAAGAAAGAAAAUAAGAAUGGUGUCCCUAAGCUAUAUGGCACGUAUAGCAAGGGUGUCGAGAAAUUUUCGGAAAAAAUUGUAAACCCUCCAACAAUCGGUUGUAUUCACAAUUGAAAUUAAGAAUUGGAAGAGUUUCUCUCACGAAAACCUAUUACCUUGGCGUUUAGCUUUUCGAGAAAAAGAAAAUUGCACGGUCAUACAAUUUCGCGAUUUUUCAAAAGAAGGAUGGCAAAGAAAGAUAUUUCCAAAGAGGCGAAACCUCUUAAAUCUAAUUUACAAACGAUAAAUAAAAAGCGCGAAAAACUUGCACACGAGCAAAAGUCCAAUUUAUAUAUUGGAAUGGAAGAUAGAGUAGAAAAUGGGAAACGCGAAUAAAGUACUCUUUUUCCUUCAUAUAUUGUGAUACCUUGGGCCAUCCGACUCAGAUAACAAGAUGAUACCUUUAACCCGUUGUUACCGUAGCACUCGCUGAAUCAAGGUACUUAACGACUGUCGGUAAACGGAGUCGUGCGCCGUUUACCGAUGAGGGAUACGUAAUCGCACAUUAGGACACCUUCAAUCUCCCUAUAUCUUUUGGAUAGAUCGAGAAAUUGCUAGAGGAAAGAUGGAACGGGAUUGCAUUAAAAAAUAGAGGCAAUAAAUUAAAAAUGUUUCAAUCAAGAGUUCAAAGAUUAUUACAGAUUUACUACUCAUUUCUGUAAAGCAAUGGUUAUUGCGCUGUCUCGACUGCUGUUAUUUACCUGACACACUAGGGGCACACACUAGGGGCACACAUUGGCGGCAACCCGAAUGGAAUACAAAAAAUGCAAAUUUUGAUUUCAAUCGACCAAUGCUAUAAAUGAAAAAGACAAAUAAAAUCGAAUCAUAUAAAAAAACAGAAUAAAUAAUGAGACAGACAGUGGAAAUGAUCCAGCGGCAUCGAGAAUUUAAAAAAUCGGCUCUUCUCUAAUAGUAUCUUUUUGCAUUUGCAACGGAGCGCAUAUUACAAAUCUAAGGUUGAAUACUAAUUAUUACGAAUAAUAAGCUAUAAAACUAUUUUUUUUGGAAAUAAACAGCUAUUUAGAUUAGAGUACAUGAGUACUACUGUUAGUAAACAAAACGACAUUCACUCUCUAUAUUUAUGGCAAAUUUUUAACAGCUAAUUUUAACAAUUUCUUGAGUUGCCACUCAAAGUAUAAAGAGAUAUGCCUUCUUCGAUUUACUUGUUGAAACUACCAAUUUAAAUAAUAGCUGCUAACGGCUUCUAGUGAUAUUCCUUAAACGGCAAUCGCCAUUUUAAGGAAGAAAGGCCAAUUGGUCGCACUAAUAAGGACCUGAUUUGAAGCCGCUGUAAAAUAGGGUUUUCCCUUUUUUGCUGAGUUCGCGUGAAGGUUGUAGGCGAAAUAAAGUGACAAUAUACAUUCAAAAUACAGACUUCAUUAUGGGAACUUUCAUUUUCUUUAUAGUGGUAGCAGGAUAACCUAGCCUUUGUGUAUAAGGUGAUAUCCUUUUACAGAGGUUAGCUAUGGAUUCUUGUAAUACAGCCAAAAGUACGUACAUAAAUUUUGAGUAAAAAAUUCGGGUAUGGUUGAAGGAGGCGUAAACGGAAGCAUUUUCUUGGCGUUAAUUGAACAUGUUUCGCACUUUAGUCUUCUUACUAUGUCAUGAAAAGAGCUAUUUUAAUUAUUGUACGGGGUGGCUUGCUAAAUAUUGAUCUGCUAGAUAUAAAAUUAAUAAAUAAAU